GAAGCCCGUGCCAGGUCUGUUCGACCUCUAUGGCAUGGCCCAUAUGGCCCCGUACAAGAAGGCGAAUCCAUUCACGGAGUCUGACCUAGAUGAUCUAGAGAGCUUCACCAACAAGACCUCCCACCACAAGCUUGUGAGGUACAGAGACAAGGGGAAGGCGAGGAAAGGGGAGGACUUUAACCCGAGCCAGGAUCCUUUUGAUACAGAGCUGGUGAUGAUAUCUGGUGGCGGGAGGUCCCAUGGCUCUCAAGCCAUUGGUGAUGGACUGAUACGUUGUCCUAAGCCUCUCCCGCAGAUCAAGAAGCGCCCGAGUAGCUCUGAUCCUGAGAUAACGCCUCAUGCACGGCCCGCGGAGAUCGCCAUGGUGGCUAUUGUUGAGAAAGAGAGAUUGAAGACGAAGGAGCUUGUGGAGGAGGCAAAAAAGGAGAUGGAGGAGUAGACGGCUAAGCUGUUGGAGGAGGAGAGGAACCAGAACGACAUCGCUAACCGGGCCCUAUACGAGCUCAUCGUGAUCAUGUGCGAGAAAAACGGUCAGGCCCCUCCGCCGAUGCCCUAGAUUGCUCCGGCGAACACGCAUGGCUCCCGACAAGCAUUGACCACUCCUUCUGCCAAUGCCGGAACCCCGACCGGUCCUUCACCUCCGUCUGGCACUGGCGCAGCCCCGACCAUUCCUACACCUCCGUCAUAACGAUAUGUUUCUUCUUCUUCUUAAGCCUCUCCUGCAGAUCAAGAAGCACCCGAGUAGCUCUGAUCCUGAGAUAACGCCUCGUGCACAGCCCGCGGAGAUAGCCAUGGUGGUUAGUUAUACAGACUCUCUCACCUCUAGCGGACGGCAAAGAGGACACGUGGCAGCUACCUGUAAAACCUGGGAAACACUGGCUGCCUAUUUGGUCACUUUGUCGUCUGCUGGCAGACGGCAAAGAUUCAAAUUACUUUGCCGUCCGCUGGCAGACGGCAUAACUGGCCACGUGGCAGCUCCCCAAUACUGCCUAGCUAAGCUCUUUGCCGUCUGUCAGCGGACGGCAAAGAGCUUUGACUCUUUGCCGUCCGCUAGCUGACGGCAAAGAGCGCCGUUAACCCCCUAAUGUCACUCACGCCACCGCACUGCCGUGCGUUGUCAUUGUCGUCUGCUGGACUCGGAUGGCGGACGGUAAAAUCCUUUGCUGUCCGUUUCUAGGAAGCGGACGGCAAAGUAGGCCUUUGCUGGCACGUGUUCAGAUGGACAGUUUGCCGUCUGCUGGCGGACGACAAAGACGUUUGCCGUCCGUGAUCCAUGCCUUUGCCGCCCGCUUGAUUCCAGUAGUGUAAGUUUCCGGUCAAUACAAUUCUAGCAUAAAUAAUAAACAUUUAUCAUGAUAUAAGGAAAUAUAAAUAACAACUUUAUUAUUGCCUCUA